ACUAAAUUACGAAGAAAAGACACAUUAUUUUGUCAUUGUUCAAGCAAAUGACUGAGGACAGAAUCUUAAUGAGCGAAGGACAAGUACAACCAGCCUGACAGUAGAUGUGCUCGAUGGGGACGAUGUGGGACCAAUGUUUCUUCCCUGUGUCUUGGUGAAUAAUACUUGUGACUGUAGACCUCUCACCUACCAAGCGAGCUUGCCAGAACUGACUGAUCCUGCCACCCAAGACGGUCUUGAAUCGCUCCACUCCAUCCAUUUCUGCUCUUCCAGUAAAAGGCUCCAGCACCUGCUCACAGCUGCAA